rnacentral:misc_RNA from 1 species
AGGUGACCUGCGGAAGGAUCAUUGUCGAAACCUGCCCAGCAGAACGACCCGCGAACCAGUUGAUAUCACCGGCGGCGGGAGGGGGUGCGCGUCCGCAACGGGCGCUCCUCCUUCCCGCCCCAUGCCGCGGGGAGAGGGACUCGUCCCGCUCCCGGCUGGCGAAACAACGAACCCCCGGCGCGGACUGCGCCAAGGAAAUCUAACGAGAGAGCACGCUCCCGCGGCCCCGGAGACGGUGCGCCGCGGGGUGCGGCGCCUUCUUUCACAUGUAUCCAAAACGACUCUCGGAAACGGAUAUCUCGGCUCUCGCAUCGAUGAAAAACGUAGCGAAAUGCGAUACUUGGUGUGAAUUGCAGAAUCCCGUGAACCAUCGAGUCUUUGAACGCAAGUUGCGCCCCAAGCCAUUAGGCCGAGGGCACGUCUGCCUGGGUGUCACGCAUCGUUGCCCCMCCCCACCCCCCCAAACCAAGGCGGGGGCCCCGGGGUGCGGGCGGAGAUUGGCCUCCCGUGCGCUGACCGCUCGCGGUUGGCCCAAAUUUGAGUCCUCGGCGACCGAAGCCGCGGCGAUCGGUGGUGAAACAAAAGCCUCUCGAGCUCCCGCCGCGCGCCCGGUCUCCGAGUGGGGACUCUGCGGCCCUGAAGCUCCGCGCAAGCGGCGCUCGCA